rnacentral:siRNA from 1 species
GACGUGAGACUAUCGAAUCCUGGU